rnacentral:tRNA from 1 species
GCCGAAGUGGCGGAAUGGCAGACGCUGCGGACUUAAACUCCGCUGCCCGCAAGGGCGUCAGGGUUCGAAUCCCUGCUUCGGCACCA